GAUGAACGCUGGCGGCGUGCUUAACACAUGCAAGUCGAACGGAAAGGACCCUGCUUGCAGGGGUACUCGAGUGGCGAACGGGUGAGUAACACGUGGGUGAUUUGCCCUGCACUUCGGGAUAAGCCUGGGAACCUGGGUCUAAUACCGGAUAGGACGAUGGUUUGGCUGCCAUUGUGGAAAGUGUUUCGGUGUGGGAUUAGCUCGCGGCCUAUCAGCUUGUUGGUGGGGUAAUGGCCUACCAAGGCGUCGACGGGUAACGGGCCUGAGAGGGUGUACGGCAACAGUGGGAAUGACAUACGGCCCGCACUCCUACGGGAGACUGCAGUGGGGAAGAUUGUACAAUGGGCGCAAGCCUCAUGCAGCAACGCCGCGUGGGGGAUGACGGCCUUCGGGUUGUAGACACCUUUCGCUAGGGACGAAGCGCAAGUGACUGUACCUGAAGAAGAAGCACCGGCUAACUACGUG
rnacentral:rRNA from 1 species